UGGUUACAGUUUCAUUGACUAAACUGGGUCUGGUACAAAUCAAAAUUAGAAAUCCAGGAGUUUAAGUCCAUUCUAUGAACAUUAAUUCCUUUUGUGAUAAGUAACCUAUCCUGCAUUGAGUAAGCAGGCCCCUUUCUGCUUUAGGAUGGUAGUUUAUCACAAUAUUUUUUGAGAACACUUCAGGCAUUCUCCCUGCUGUAAGAUAAAAUUGCAUGUUGAUUAAUGUUCCCUUUAAAUCCCUGUCUCAUCUCUAAUUACUGGACUUCUGAGGCUUCCUCAAAGAUGUCCCAUGUAACAGAGAAACCUAGGAAACUGCCAAUUUGCAAAAUCUACGAUUCUGGUCUACUCCCCAUAGUGAACAGUAAGAAUUCAAGUAGAGAAAUUUGCCGCCCUACACCAAGAAUUGCAUACUUCAUUUGUCUUUUAUAAUUAUCCUUUGCAGUUGAUAUUCCCAUUUUUUUAUGAAAAAGACAAAGAGUUUAGACUACUUUCCCAGAUAUAGAGUGAGAUAAAGGUCUGGAAUGGAAAUCUGGUUUGUUAGGUGGCAAAGCUGGUGCCCUGAGCUGUCCCUGUGGUGCUGCCUCCAGGACGUCUUUCCCUUUCUUGUCUUCUCCAGAAGACAUAGAAGCUCACAUUGGAACUCUGAGGAAGUGGCUUCACACAUUAUCGCUUACUGGCAUUAUCACUUACUAGCAUACUAAAGUACCCAGUUCGCGGAAUUGCUGAAGUCAGUGAGUUAAUGUAACAAGAACACUUGUGAAAUGUUUUAAAGUUCACAAAACAUUUUCUUUUCAGCACCCAAUCAGUGGCUGACCAAAAAGUGAGAAAACUUGUAAAAACUUGUGUUGGAGCUACAAUUAGGGAUCCCUGAGGUUAUAUAGGGGCAUUUUCAUGCUUACUUGCCAUGGAAAUGUAAUUGCUACUUAUAUUUUAGAUAAGAAUAUUUUAAAUGUGUGUGGGCUUCAGACAAUUAGGAAUUUAGGGACUACCCACCCACUGUGGUGUAGACUAGAGUUCCCAAAGAAGGCUUUGUUAGGGGAGAGAUGAUCUGGGAUGGGCCUUGAAGAAUGGGGGAAAUUGCCCGUGUAAAAACCAAAAUGGUGGUGAAACUUCUCAGCAAAAACAUGGCUGUGUGAAGAAAGCUAUAAUGGUGAGGGUGGGGAGGCUGAAACUUGUUGACUAUUGCUGACAAUCUGACGGGAAAUGGCAGGAUGGCAACCCUAAGACAGGACAGGCCCCAAAUUAAACUCUGCACUCUCAGGUUCUGAACCCUGAGGAUGUGAAGCAAUAGGACUCAUUUCUGGCUUCUUAGAGAUGCCUGAAAGGCAGAAGAGCAAGAAGUGGAUGAGUCUUUUACAAGUAAUGGCCAGUGAUUUAAUGCUUACCUCUUUUUAAAUAGAGGACGUGGUCAGUAAGAAGGAUCCUGUCAACUGUUUUCUUUUAGUCCAUUCUCCUUAAUUGCUAUCAUCAGGUCAGCUGGGGAACCUGCUGAUCCAAGUUGGAUUUGGUUGUGAGGUUCUGCUUCAAUCUGCAAGUUGAUCAGGCAUCUCUGCUCCACAUUUUCUUCAUCCUCAUUGAACCAACGAGCUAACCAGGGUAUAUUGUCAUGUUGCAGCAAAGUCAGAAGACAACAAGCCCCCUUGCACAAGCAAAUUUCAGGUCUUUGUACUGCAUCUGCUAAUGCCCCAUUAACAAAGUGGUGCAGAUGGCCAA